UACGGAGGGGCUAGCGUUGUUCGGAUUUACUGGGCGUAAAGGGCGCGUAGGCGGAUGUUCGCGUCAGAGGUGAAAGCCCCGGGCUCAACCUGGGAACUGCCUUUGAAACGGGACAUCUUGAGUUCGGGAGAGGGUAGCGGAAUUCCCAGUGUAGAGGUGAAAUUCGUAGAUAUUGGGAAGAACACCGGUGGCGAAGGCGGCUACCUGGCCCGAUACUGACGCUGAGGCGCGAAAGCGUGGGGAGCAAACAGGAUUAGAUACCCGCGUAGUCCCUGAGCGGGCUGGCAA
rnacentral:rRNA from 1 species